GCACUUUGGACCGUCUGAACAAACUCACAAAGUUUCAUCUCUGCUGUCUGAAGACUAAUCUACAGGAUUAUUAGAUUAUUGAUGAACUGGAACCAAACAACAUGAUGAACAGCUGAUGUUCAGAUGUGAUGUUUAGAUGAGCAGAACUCUGUCGACCCAAUCAGAGCUUCACGGCUCCAGAUGAUCCGUCUAAAAUCUAAAUAUCUGGGAGCUUAAAGACAGGAACGUCCUUCAUGUCCAAUAAAGCCCGGACUUCACUGUGGCUCCACUUCUCUGGCUCUGGCUCCAUUUUGGUAAAUGUGAAGGUAGAAAGUGUGUGUGAGCUGAUGUGGAUGUGAAUUCAGCAGCAUG